rnacentral:sRNA from 1 species
UUCGGUGCUUCAAUCAGUGCUUCCAUCGUUGGUGCCGCUCCCAAUCUCGUCUCUCGUUUGUGAGUUUGAGUGGUUGUGGAGUUGAGGGUUGUGGUCUCUGGUUUACGUUUUGACUUGUGUCGCUUCAGUGGUGUAUGACUUUGAGGUAGGUUUUUUUCAAAUUUUUUGUGUGGUAGUUUUACCCUUUUGAGCACUACCAGUGAUGAUAUUGUUUUUUUUGUUUAUA